rnacentral:rRNA from 1 species
UAGUACGGCGAGUGAGCGGGAAGAGCUCAAGCUUAAAAUCUCCGUGCAAGUUUUGCGCGGCGAAUUGUAGUCUAUAGAAGCGUGGUCAGUGAGGGUGCCCGGGGCAAGUUCCUUGGAAGAGGACAGCAUGGAGGGUGAUACUCCCGUUCAUCCCUGGGUGUCUCUUGCGUACGACCCGUUUUCUUUGAGUCGCGUUGUUUGGGAAUGCAGCGCAAAGUAGGUGGUAAAUUCCAUCUAAAGCUAAAUAUUGGUGCGAGACCGAUAGCGAACAAGUACCGUGAGGGAAAGAUGAAAAGAACUUUGAAAAGAGAGUUAAAGAGUACCUGAAACUGCUGAAAGGGAACCGAAUCGUUUCCAGUGUCUAUAAUCUGUGGCAUAUUUCAUUGGCGAGUGUGUGCGUGCGUGUGCUUUGGCAGUGGCUUUUUUGGCUGCGCUGGGUGUGUGUGCUGUGUGUGCUUGCUGGUGCCCUGUGCUGCGGUGGGACGUCAAGGUCAGUUCGUAUGCUGCGGGAAAUGGCUGCCGAGGAGGUAGGGCUUACGCUCCGCGUUUGUCUGUUAUAUCUUGGUGGACGAGUCGUCGCGGUUGGGACUGAGGUGCCUACAACGUGCUUUUGAGUGAGUGUGGGUCUCCGUGUGCGCCGUGUGCGGAUAGCUUGCUAUGCGUGUGUGGCUGUGUGUGGAUUGAUGCGCGCUGUAACUUGUCGCCGUUC